CCUACGGGGGGCUGCAGUGGGGAAUAUUGGACAAUGGGGGGAACCCUGAUCCAGCCAUGCCGCGUGUGUGAAGAAGGCCCUCGGGUUGUAAAGCACUUUCAGUGAGGAAGAACGCCUGGUGGUUAAUACCCAUCAGGAAAGACAUCACUCACAGAAGAAGCACCGGCUAACUCCGUGCCAGCAGCCGCGGUAAUACGGAGGGUGCGAGCGUUAAUCGGAAUUACUGGGCGUAAAGCGCGCGUAGGUGGCUUGAUAAGCCGGUUGUGAAAGCCCCGGGCUCAACCUGGGAACGGCAUCCGGAACUGUCAAGCUAGAGUGCAGGAGAGGAAGGUAGAAUUCCCGGUGUAGCGGUGACAUGCGUAGAGAUCGGGAGGAAUACCAGUGGCGAAGGCGGCCUUCUGGACUGAAACUGACACUGAGGUGCGAAAGCGUGGGUAGCAAACAGGAUUAGAUACCCUUGUAGUC
rnacentral:rRNA from 1 species